GUACACACCGNCCGUCGCUGNCCGGGAAUGNGCCAUUUCGAGAAACUCGGGGACGAUCAGCGUGCCGGCUUUCGGGCCGUCUCGCCGAUUGGAACCGAUUUAAUCGCAGUGGCUUGAACCGGGCAAAAGUCGUAACAAGGUAGCUGUAGGUGAACCUGCUGCUGGAUCAUUACCCAA
rnacentral:rRNA from 1 species